rnacentral:rRNA from 1 species
GAUGAACGCUGGCGGCGUGCCUAAUACAUGCCAGUCGAGCGAACAGAUGAGGAGCUUGCUCCUCUGACGUUAGCGGCGGACGGGUGAGUAACACGUGGAUAACCUACCUAUAAGACUGGGAUAACUUCGGGAAACCGGAGCUAAUACCGGAUAAUAUAUUGAACCGCAUGGUUCAAUAGUGAAAGACGGUUUUGCUGUCACUUAUAGAUGGAUCCGCGCCGCAUUAGCUAGUUGGUAAGGUAACGGCUUACCAAGGCAACGAUGCGUAGCCGACCUGAGAGGGUGGUCGGCCACACUGGAACGGAGACACGGUCCAGGGGCCUACGGGAGGCAGCAGUAGGGAAUCUGCCGCAAUGGGCGAGAGCCUGACGGAGCAACGCCGCGUGAGUGAUGAAGGUCUUCGGAUCGUAAAACUCUGUUAUUAGGGAAGAACAAAUGUGUAAGUAACUAUGCACGUCUUGACGGUACCUGAUCAGAAAGCCACGGCUAACUACGUG